CAUGCAGGCGGUUUAUCAAGUAGGAUGUGAAAGCCCUCGGCUUAACCGAGGAACUGCAUCGGAAACUGUUUUUCUUGAGUGCAGAAGAGGAGAGUGGAACUCCAUGUGUAGCGGUGGAAUGCGUAGAUAUAUGGAAGAACACCAGUGGCGAAGGCGGCUCUCUGGUCUGCAACUGACGCUGAGGCUCGAAAGCAUGGGUAGCGAACA
rnacentral:rRNA from 1 species